CCUUUGUUCCUUUUCCUUCCUGCCACCUUGAGAAGAAGGUACCUUUCUUCCCUUUCACCUUCGGCCAUUAUUGCAAGUUUCCCGAGGCCUCCUCAGCCAUGCUGAGUGCUACCUUUUGAAGAGUCUAGACCAGUUCCUUUGAAGAAUGCCUGAUGAUUAGGAUCUGUCUGAAUGCUUCUUCACGACGAAAUUCAGGGAAAUUUGGACACAGCCACCCACGUGCACACAGCGAUAACACAGGCAAAGACGUCAAGAUGAAGGCAAAGAUUGGGGUGAUGCUGCUAUAUGCCAAGGAACACCAAAGAUGGCCAGCAAACACCCAGCAGCUAGGGGAGAGGCCUGAAGCAGAUUCUCUUUCAGCCCUCAGAAAGAACCAACUCUGCCAGCACCUUGAUCUUGGACGUCCAGCCUCCCGAAUUGAGACAAUAAAUUUCUUUUGUUUAAGCCCCCAGUUUGUGGUAAUUCAUUAAGGCAGCUCUAGCAAACUAAUACACAGGCCAUGCAAGGACAGACAUCCACGGGGCAUGACCAGUAAGAAAAGUCCCCGAGGGGAGUAAGGGAUCAGACUGUUUGGGGAACUGGAAGACGGUAAAUGUGUCCAUAGCACAAAGAGUGAGGUCAUGAGGUGAGCAGGAGCCAGUUCAUCUAGGAGGACACUCUGGAGUAAUGGAUUUUACUCCAAGUACAAGGAGACCUUGCUACUUUCCUACGACCCCUUGACUUCACAGCAAUUUCACUGAACCCAAGAUAUUUCCAACCCCACUGAGCUAAAACUUGCUGUAUCUGUGAGUGAGCCUAGGGGUGGAGUGGGGCAUAAAAAGCAGAAAAGAUGUCAAGAUUUAAUGAACACCAUCUAAGUCCCCAGUGGACAAUUCUGGAUGUCCUGGGUUUUUGUUUUGUAAGGCCAGCCUCUGCCAAUUUAGUAGCUUAAUAACCACUAUGAAAGAUCAGGACAUUGAGCCACCAAAGUCGUCCAAAUGAAGAUUUCAGAUGAGGAUCUGGAAGUGAGGGUGGGGAACCAGGAAGCAGAGAAGAAGACUGACAUUGUGAAGCCCUCCGAUAGAAAGUGGAUGUGAGGACAAAAGAAGUACUGAAACUCAGAAGGACUGGACCUCUUUCUCCUUGUAAGUCAAGCUGAACGUGCAAAGAGGAGCUGACAGGAGAGUUUGUCCUGCUGGCAUCAGCCUCCAGGGAAGUCCCCCAGCUUCCUGGAUGCCUCCACUCUUGCUGUUGCCUGCUUGGACCCCAUGGCCCCAUCCUCAACAGCAGCUCCUAGGGCUUGUCUGGAGGCCCUGGAUCGAAGGUACUUCCCAGCCUGAGCCCCUGUAGAGGUGGCAGCUGUAUUCUUUAGAUACAAGAACAGCAUAGUUUUCAAGCGUGUGUAUAAAGGUGUCUUCUUCCUCUGGGCAAAUCAGUCCCAGGGGCAAGAGCCACCAGUGUCAACUUAGCAAUCUUUGUCAGUGGCAAGGAGGUGACACUAAUGUGAACCACAAUUUUCAUAGCCAACUUAAGCUUAUUUUCUUACCUUGUCUUUUCUUAGAACUGCAUCACUUCUUACACAGGUUCUUUUUUUUAUCAUUUUUAAAACCAUGGAGGCCUGGAAAUGAACCGAGAGUGACUAUUCAUGCCUGAGCUAAUCUCUCUUCCCCCAGGGAUACUGCUGGAAGAUGGACAGUGAAUGGUCAGAAUUCAGAAGUUCCAGGUCAGAGGUUGACUCAGCCACCCCUGGGCUGAUGGAACCAUCAGAAGGAUCCUCUUAUUCAGUCCCCAAACUGGGCCCUGUGGAGCAGCAUCCCAGACAGCAGGAAUCGGACGUGCAAUUACUCCUUGGGACUCAGGGAGGAGUUUUAACAAGAACACUGCACAUCUUCAGAGCAGGGGGUCUUCUCUGUCUCUAUAAUCAAACAAAAAUUUUUUUUGACUAUUCUAUAACACACUGCUGCCUGGGAUCCUAGAACUGUUGCGUUUUUGAUCUUCCUCUUCGCAGCAUGGACAGCGGAUCCCCUUGAUCUGCAAGCCCUGCCCUGCCUCUCUCUGCACGCUGGAGGUUCAGGGAGACUACACCCUUGGGGGGCACUGGGAGCUGCUGGAGAUGUGCACAUCGAGCAGUGGAGAGCAGUCGUCUCUUCUGAUCUCCAUGCGGGGGAACUGGUGAGAGUUGCUGUAGGACCUCUGGUGAAAUUACCUCGGCUACUGACUAGUAAAGAGAUGAGAAAGGAGAGGUACUACAGAUUUUCUUUAAGAAAUAAAUAUUGUCUCCUCUUUUUCUCUUUUCUCCAGUAAACUGCCCAAAUUUGGAAG